CAAGAGGAGGCCUUGAGCACACUGGAAUUCAUCCAAAGACGCUUCAUCGGGAUCAACCCAACCUCUGGCACAAAGAUGACAAAGUGGAUCAGUCCAAGAAGUGGGAAGGUGCAC